CCCUUAGAUGUUCUGGGCCCCACGCGCGCUACACUGACGGAGUCAACGAGUUGUCCUGCAUCGGAAGGUGUGGGUAAUCUUUUGAAACUUCGUCGUGCUGGGGAUAGAUCUUUGCAAUUUUCGAUCUUGAACGAGGAAUUCCUAGUAAGCGUGAUUCAUCAGAUCGCGUUGAUUACGUCCCUGCCCUUUGUACACACCGCCCGUCGCUACUACCGAUUGAAUGGUUUAGUGAGGCCUCGGGACUGGCGCGCUCGAGUAGCAAUACACCUGCGCGCCGGGAACUUGGUCAAACUUGAUCAUUUAGAGGAAGUAAAAGUCGUAACA
rnacentral:rRNA from 1 species